GAUAAUUCAUUGAUUAUUGCGAAGUAGGAAUGCUAACCACAACAGGGACAUACUGAUUUUAUUGAAAGGUAUGAUGGCAGGCCGAAUUGGAUAUAUGAGAAUUUUGGGUAACCUCCUUAUCGGUAAGUGGCAGGAUUCGUUCUGCAAUUUAGGUGGUACCACGAGACAGUCGUCCUAUUG
rnacentral:ncRNA from 1 species